CAAAGUUAAAAAAUAUUUUUGCUAGUUAUAAUUUUUUUUUGUAAAUUAUAGAACCAUAAAGAUAUCAAAAACAUUGUCAAAUUCUAUAAUAAUAUGUAGACAUUAUGUCCAUCAGUUUAAAUAAAAAUAACCAUCCUAUCCUGAACGUGAUACUCCAAAUACAUUGACCUAACCUCACGUGCCGACUGUAUUUAAAACGUCAACAUUCGCGGGAGAUCCUACGAGUAUUCCGUUGCAUAGGCAAGAUAUCAGGCGUGCUGCCAGUAAAUCCUAGCUUCCUGACGAGGGGAUGGUCAGCAAGCGCUUGUCCCGCACCGGGGCCGCUGCCAG